UUCCUUGCCACAGUCAUUCGCUGUACUUUGAAGAAGAAUUCUCGGACAUAAUUACUGAUGAAGUCAAUAGUAAUAUUUGGAAAUUUAGAAUAUAAAUUCCACGUGCACCAGGUAACUGUCAGACACAUGAGCAUAAAAUUGCAAACACAUGGGCUGAUUCUUGUCGUUCUUCUGGCUAUUUCCGUGCCAACAGAGCUGACAGCAAUAUAUAGGCAGACGACAACAAAAACCGAUGACGACGACAAAAAAAAAACAAAAAAACUUACAAACAAAAAAAAAA